AAUAGAUACCCAGGUAGUCCACGCCGUAAACGAUGAGUGCUAAGUGUUAGGGGGUUUCCGCCCCUUAGUGCUGCAGCUAACGCAUUAAGCACUCCGCCUGGGGAGUACGGUCGCAAGACUGAAACUCAAAGGAAUUGACGGGGGCCCGCACAAGCGGUGGAGCAUGUGGUUUAAUUCGAAGCAACGCGAAGAACCUUACCAGGUCUUGACAUCCCAUUGACCACUAUGGAGACAUAGUUUUCCCUUCGGGGACAACGGUGACAGGUGGUGCAUGGUUGUCGUCAGCUCGUGUCGUGAGAUGUUGGGUUAAGUCCCGCAACGAGCGCAACCCUUGUUCUUAGUUGCCAUCAUUUAGUUGGGCACUCUAAGGAGACUGCCGGUGACAAACCGGAGGAAGGUGGGGAUGACGUCAAAUCAUCAUGCCCCUUAUGACCUGGGCUACACACGUGCUACAAUGGACGGUACAAACGGUUGCCAACCCGCGAGGGGGAGCUAAUCCGGAUAAAACCAUUCUCAGUUCGGAUUGUAGGCUGCAACUCGCCUAC
rnacentral:rRNA from 1 species